UAGAAGCUGGAGGUCCAUGAGCCAAUUGUUCUUAGGGGAACUGAGGAGGUGAAUUGGUGCACCCACAUGACCACUAGGUGGUUCCCUACUCCGAGAAGUGACACUUUCCAGCUUUUCGUACAAAAUGGAUUGAGCCGAAAUUGUGUUCCUCUGACCUGUGUCAGCUCUUUAGCAACCAGUAUCAGCGAUGAAUCAGCCCAGGAAACCAAAUGAAACAGAUGGACCAGCAGAGAUGCAAUGCGGAACAGGCCCUUCCUGCCCAUUGAGAAGAUCUUGACUGGUUGUAUCACUGCCUGGUACAGGAACUGUACCAACCGUGGUUGCUGGGCACUGCAGAGAGGAGUAUGGACAGCCCAGUGCAUCUGUGGAUGUGAACUUCCCUCCAUUGAAGACACUUAUUGCAGCAGGUGUGUAAAGAAGGCCUGGAGGAUCAUCGGAGACACCAGUCACCCCAGCCAUAAACUCCUUCAGGGGUUUCCAUCUGGCAAAUGCUACCAAUAGUAUUAAAGCCAGGACUAGUAGGCUACGGGAUAGCUUCUUUCUACAAGCCAUUAGGCUUAUAAAUUCACAUGUCUGUGUAUCGCAACAGAGUCAAAACGCAAAGAUUUUUACUCUCUACAUUGUGGGAUAGAUAUAAGAUUUAAAUAUAUUCAAAUUUUAUAUUUCCAAUUCAAAUUCAAAUGCAGGGCAGCCACACGACCCUACGACCCACUGAUUUAACCCUAGCCUAAUCACAGGCAACUUACAAUGACCAUUAACCUACUUACUGGUGCAUCUUUGGAAUGUGGGGUGCAACCAGAAGACCAGGAGGAAACCAACACACUUCACAGGGAGGACGUACAAACUUUCUUACAGAGGACGCUGGAAUUGAACUCCGAAAUCUGACACCAAAGCUAUAAUAGUGUCACGCUAACGGGCCUCCCGUCAUCAUUAUUCAGAUUUGUGGUCAUCAUUAACUUUUGGUCAGACUUUAUUCUUUCAUUCCAGACUAAUUGCUCAUAACUUUGUCUAAACGGCCAUUAUG